CAGUACGUGUCAUUUGACAUGUUUAAAAGGGAAUACGGUGGGAAUCCGUAACAGUCACGCUGCUGUAAGGUGGACGAAAGCCCAAUGAUGUCACUGGAGAGUUUCUCUGGGAAGGCGGGCGAGUAGAAGGAAGCCAAGUCAGAAUAUCUGCUGUAAU
rnacentral:ncRNA from 1 species